UACGGAGGUGCGAGCGUUGUCCGGAAUCAUUGGGCGUAAAGGGCGCGUAGGUGGCCCGGUAAGCGUGCGGUGAAAGCUCGGGGCUCAACCCCGAGUCGGCCGUGCGAACUGCUGGGCUUGAGCACUGUAGAGGCAGGCGGAAUUCCGGGUGUAGCGGUGGAAUGCGUAGAGAUCCGGAAGAACACCCGUGGCGAAGGCGGCCACCUGGGCCGACCCUGGACGCUGAGGCGCGAAGGCGUGGGGAGCGAACGGG
rnacentral:rRNA from 1 species